GAUGUUGAGAACAUCCAAAUCUCUCACUUGAGGGUUUCAGAUUUGUCUGACAAAUUUGAGGGAGCACUGUCCAUCAAUCCUUAACAAUAGAUUUCUCCCUUAGAUUGUCAUUAAUUCUGUUAUGUAUAAAUAAAUCAGAAAAGGGUUUGGACUCUUGGAGACUGGACGCAUCUCUUUCAAGAGGUCCAGUAAGUAGUGUUGUGUAUGAAUAAUGGAAUUUGCUUUUC
rnacentral:misc_RNA from 1 species